rnacentral:rRNA from 1 species
UCCUGACUGACCGAUAGUGAACCAGUACCGUGAGGGAAAGGCGAAAAGAACCCCGGCGAGGGGAGUGAAAAAGAACCUGAAACCGUGUACGUACAAGCAGUGGGAGCACGCUUAGGCGUGUGACUGCGUACCUUUUGUAUAAUGGGUCAGCGACUUAUAUUCUGUAGCAAGGUUAACCGAAUAGGGGAGCCGAAGGGAAACCGAGUCUUAACUGGGCGUUAAGUUGCAGGGUAUAGACCCGAAACCCGGUGAUCUAGCCAUGGGCAGGUUGAAGGUUGGGUAACACUAACUGGAGGACCGAACCGACUAAUGUUGAAAAAUUAGCGGAUGACUUGUGGCUGGGGGUGAAAGGCCAAUCAAACCGGGAGAUAGCUGGUUCUCCCCGAAAGCUAUUUAGGUAGCGCCUCGUGAAUUCAUCUCCGGGGGUAGAGCACUGUUUCGGCAAGGGGGUCAUCCCGACUUACCAACCCGAUGCAAACUGCGAAUACCGGAGAAUGUUAUCACGGGAGACACACGGCGGGUGCUAACGUCCGUCGUGAAGAGGGAAACAACCCAGACCGCCAGCUAAGGUCCCAAAGUCAUGGUUAAGUGGGAAACGAUGUGGGAAGGCCCAGACAGCCAGGAUGUUGGCUUAGAAGCAGCCAUCAUUUAAAGAAAGCGUAAUAGCUCACUGGUCGAGUCGGCCUGCGCGGAAGAUGUAACGGGGCUAAACCAUGCACCGAAGCU